rnacentral:rRNA from 1 species
ACUCCUGCGGGAGGCAGCAGUGGGGAAUUUUGGACAAUGGGCGAAAGCCUGAUCCAGCAAUGCCGCGUGUGUGAAGAAGGCCUUCGGGUUGUAAAGCACUUUUGUCCGGAAAGAAAUCCUUGGCUCUAAUACAGUCGGGGGAUGACGGUACCGGAAGAAUAAGCACCGGCUAACUACGUGCCAGCAGCCGCGGUAAUACGUAGGGUGCGAGCGUUAAUCGGAAUUACUGGGCGUAAAGCGUGCGCAGGCGGUUUGCUAAGACCGAUGUGAAAUCCCCGGGCUCAACCUGGGAACUGCAUUGGUGACUGGCAGGCUAGAGUAUGGCAGAGGGGGGUAGAAUUCCACGUGUAGCAGUGAAAUGCGUAGAGAUGUGGAGGAAUACCGAUGGCGAAGGCAGCCCCCUGGGCCAAUACUGACGCUCAUGCACGAAAGCGUGGGGAGCAAACAGGAUUAGAAACCCCGGUAGUCCCAUGAU